rnacentral:lncRNA from 10 species
GGGAGGGGAGAGGGAUAGCAUUGGGAGAUAUACCUAAGGCUAGAUGAUGAGUUAGUGGGUGCAGCGCACCAGCAUGGCACAUGUAUACAUAUGUAACUAACCUGCACAAUGUGCACAUGUACCCUAAAACUUAAAGUAUAAUAAAAAAAAAAAGAAUGAAAUUAAGAUGAUUGGCUAAACCAGCGACUCCCAAAAUGUGGCCCCUGCAUCAGUAACAUCAGCACCACUUGGGAAUUAUUAGAAAUGCAAAUUAUUGAGCUUCAUCUCAGCCAAUAAAAUCAGAAACUCUGAGGGCGGGGCCCUGCAGUCUAUGGCUUAAUGGGCCCUCCAGGUGAUCCUGAUGCAACCAGAAGUUUAGAACCAGCCAAGUAGCUUAGAUUAAUAAACUUGCAUUUCUGGUGCUAUGGUUUGGAUGCAUGUCCCUCCAAAUCUUAUGCUGGAAUUUUAUCCCCAGUUUUGGAGAUGGGGCCUUGUGGAAGAUGUUUGGCUCAUAGGGAUGGAGCCCUCAUGAAUGUCUUGGUCUCAUCCUCAUGGUUAUGAGUGAAUUCUCAAUUCUCACUCUGUUAGUUCCCCCCAAGAGCUGAUUGUUUAAGAGACCUGACACCUUCCCAUUCUCUUUUGUUUCCUCUCUCACCAUGUGAUCAUUGCACACCUUGGCUCUCCUUCACCUUCCAACGUGAGUGAAAGCUUCCUGAAGCCCUCACCAGAAGCAGAUGCAGGAGCCAUGCUUCUUGUACAGCCUGCAGAACUGAGGCAAAUGAACUGAUGAACCUGGCAGAUUUCCCAUCUUCAAACAAUGAUGGUUCAUGCUGACACUCUGUCCCUGGCUGCAGAGGGCACCUCUUUUUUUGUUCACCUGACAAAAAACAACAAUUGGAUUGGUCUCUCCCAGACCACGUGGUCCUCACAGGCUGCCCAUCAUGGGCCUCAACUCCCCUGACCACGUGGGACAGGCACAAGACCCACAGUACUCUGUUCAGACUCUCUCUCAGGCAUCUGAAAUUUCCAUGGAGACAGAAGGACAAAAGGACAGAGCUGUCUUUUCAACAAAUGUUGCUGGGAGAACUGGAUAUCUACUUGCCGAAGAAUGAAGUCAUACCCUUAUCUCACAGUAUCUACAAAAACUAGCUUAAAAUAGACUAAAGAGCUAAACGGAAAAGUUAAAAUUAUAAAACAUAAGGAGAAAGCUUCAUGGCAUUGGAUUUGGCAGUGAUUUCUUCUUUAUGACACUAAAAGCACAGGCGACAAAAGAAAAAAGACGGAAAUUGGACUCCAAAAUGAAGAAUUUUGCACAUCAAAAGGCACUGUAAACAGAGUAAAAAGACAACCUAUAGGCCGGGCGCGUGGGGCUCACGCCUGUAAUCCCAACACUUUGGGAAGCCGAGGCAGGUGGAUCAUGAAGUCAGGAGAUCGAGACCAUCCUGGCUAACACGGUGAAACCUUAAAAAUACAAAAACAAAAUGAGCCGGGCGUGGUGGCGGGCACCUGUAGUCCCAGCUACUAGAGAGGCUGAGGCGGGAGAAUGGCGUGAACCCAGGAGGCGGAGCUUGCAGCGAGCCGAGAUCGCGCCACUGCACUACAGAGCAAGACUCCGUCUCAAAAAAAAAAAAAAAAGAAAAGAAAAAAAGACAACCUAUAGAAUGCGAGAAAAUGUUUGUAAAUCAAAUUCCUAAUAAAAAAUUAAUAUUCAUAAUAUGUAAAGGACUCCUAUAACUCAACAACAACAAUUAAAAACUAGGCAAAGGACUUCAAUAGACAUUUCUCCAAAUAAGUUAUACAAAUGGCCAAUGAGCCCAGGAAGAGAUGUUCAGCAUCACUAAUCAUUAGGGAAAUGGAAACCAAAACCACAGUGAGAUCCCACCUCACACCCAUUAGGAUGGCUACUAUCAAACAAGCAGAGAAUAGCAGGUGUUGGUGAGGAUGUAGAGGGAUUGGAAGGAACUCUUGCGCAUUGCUGGUGGAAAUGUAAAAUGGUGCAGCUACUAUGGAAAGCAGCACAGAAGUUCCUCAAAAACUUAAAAAUAGAAUUACCAUAUGAUCCAGCAAUUUUGUUUCUAGGUGCAUACCCAAAGGAAUUGAAGGCUGGAACUCAAAGAGUUAUUUGUACACCUAUGUUUGCAACAGCAUCAUUUACAGUAGUGUGAAAAGAUCACCGUGGGCAUGUUAACAUUUUAAAGCAUUUAUGUGAGCAGACAAUGAUUCAUGAAUCUGGUAGCACCAAACUGCAAGUAGUUUGGGCUCCACCAAGAGGGUGUGAGGGGAAAAUUGUUAAAAGGUGAUCAUGAAAGCAAGACAAAGAAAAUAUUUGAUUGGCUAAGGCAGGAAGUCUCCAGUUAGAGGUCAGCUGGAGGUUUCUGAUUGGUAAAUUCUGUAGUGAGAGGUUAGUUAGCAGUUUCUGAAUGGUUAAGCUGGGGUUUCAUUUUCCCAGGCUAUGGUCACUCACACUGAAUGGGGUUUCAGUUUGCUUAUGUAGGAAUCCAAGGUGCUGGGUUCUCAGCCAAAUGGACUCCAAAUUAAUUGUUUUUAACAAUAGCCAAAAGGUUAAUCAGCUCAAAUGUCCACUGAUGGAAUGAGUCAAUUAAUUUGUUUACUUGUCCAUGAAUGAGUAAACAAAAUGUGGUAUAUACAUACAAUUAAAUAUUAUUCAGCCUUAAAAAGGAAGAAAAUUCUGACCCAUGCCAUAAUGUGGAUGAACUUUGAAGACAUUACGCUAAGUAAGAUAAGCCAGUCACAAAAAUAACAAACUCUGUGUGAUUCCCCUCAUAGGGGGUCCAUAGUCAAAUUCAUAGAAACAGAAUAGUGGUUGUGGGGGCUGGGCAGAGGGGGAGUCAUUGUCUAAUUUGUGGUGUUAAAUUAAGCUUAGCCUAAAGCUGACUGCUUACAUAUUUUAAGUUUAGCCUAAAGAUCCCUCCAUACAUGGUGAACUGUCUCCUAACUGGAUGUAUGAACAGAUUGUAACCUACUCUUGUACCAGUCACUGAGUUUCUGCAAAUCAAAGGUGACCAGACCCUGUUUAAAUACGGCAAACAUUGAGCUGUAGCCAAUACAGUAGUUUCUGCACCUCACUUCCAGUUUCUGUACAUUACUUUCCUUUUUCUGUCCAGCGAUCUUUGACCAUGCUGCAGCAACGGGGUCUCUCUGAACCUAUUCUGGUUUAGGAGACUGCCCAAUUCAUGAAUCUUUCUUUGUUCAAUUAAACUCUGUUAAAUUUAAUUUAUCUGAAGUCUUUAUUUUAACAAUUACAGAGUUUCAGUUUUGCAAAAUAUAAAGAGUUCUGUGGAUAGAUGGUGGUGAUGGUUUCACAACAAUGCAAUGGUAGUCAAUGCCACUGAUCCAUACCCUUAAACAGAGUGAAAAUUGUCAAUUUUAUAUUAUUUUAUCACAAUAAAAAGAAAAGGAGGUCAGAGCUGAGCCAUCAGGCAACAGCCUCCAGAGUGUUGCUCUGUCAUUGUGUGCUGUUGAAGCCCCCGGUGCUUCCCUGACCCCUCCAUGGCAGACCUGAAGGUUCGGCGCUCUUUUCUAGCCUGUGAGUGCCCCGUUAUGUUUACCAUCAAGUCCUCUUUCGGACGAAGUCACCCAGGGUAGGCUUCCUUUUGCCAAAGAGCAUUCCCUGAAAUGCCAGCAUUCUACAUAAAGUGGCUGCAGCUAUCUGCCUACCAGAGAGCCAUCCCCAAAUUGUUCUAUGGAAAAAAGAAUACCUGCCGUUUGCUUGCCACCCCUUAUGCACCCUGCUGCCACCUCGUUCCAGGGUCAUCCUAAGCCCUCCAGAAUGAAGAUUUAUUUGGCAGUACAUUCAUGUUUUUAUUUUGGUUUCUGUCUAAUAUUCUUUCCUAUUUUCAUUCCUGUAGUGGCAGGUACCACAGCUCAUGGGCCAGUAAAAGCUACCAAUUGCACCAGUCCUGAUUCCUGGGCAUGAUGUGAUAGUCUUCACUCAUCCUGUCUGGGAAACGGAGGUUCAAAAAUCAAACUUUGAAACAUUGCCUUGAAUGGGACAACAUAGACUCUGGCUCUGCUCCUCUAACAUCAUGGUCUCUGCUGAAUUAUGGAGGAAGGACCUCUGUUGUCUGCAAUAGAAAGCCUUGAGAUUCACGAUACUGGCUAGAGUACACUGAGCCAUACGGACACAAAUGCACUAUUUAGCAGGGAAAUUGAAUUGAAAUCCAAGUGCAUUUUUCAAGCUCUGGCGUACUGCGCUGCAGCAUUUCUCCUAAAUGAAUUGAACACAUUUUGGCCUUAGCUGCAUGCAAACAUGUCUAAAAAAAUCAAGUACACACCUGGCAGGCAGUGUGUUGGUUAAAAGGGUCUCAGGUCUCCUAGAAAUUGCCAUGCAAGAACCAGACUUUUUUCCAGCUGUAUGCAAAUUAACCAUCAGCAUCUUUAAACAAAGCAAAAUAUUAACUGAAAAAUCGAGUGUCUCAGCUACAACACAGAAUAGGUGUUCACAGAUUUUUGUUUAAUACAGGGCCCUCUUAAAAAGUCCCAUUUUUAUCUAUGAUGUAAUCCAGAGAAUGUGUAUGAUUUUUUUCCUCCCUACCUGUCCACCAAAAUCAAAUCAAAGGCCUUUUUCCUCAAGGAAGUUUCCACAUUACGCAACAGCCAACCAUGUCAAGAGCUGAUUUGCAGGCUGAGCUCAGUCACAUUAGGGACUUCUUCCUAUGCAAGCGGGGCUGUUGAAGUCAACAGUGAGAUUAGUAAGGGGGAGAGUCAUGCACCUGGAAACAAAAACCUGGACCCUCCUCGUAGCCCUGCAAAACGACGCUGACAGUGUGCAAGCUCUCCCUUCCCUGAGCCUCUCUGUCCUCCUCUGCAACCCUGCCUCAAGCGGUCAUUUUCAGGAUUGCACUGAAAAUCUGACAAAGCAGGAAGCUGAUAUGGUCUACAGAGGUACUGAAUUGAGGUAAACAGAAAUUUCAGAGGCCACCUCUGCAUGGAGAAGCUACAAGCAGAACCGUUCAGUGCAUCACCACCUCGGACCACACCUCCCCAAGUCAUCCAGACCCCAGAGCCGCCUUUUUCUGUUGUUUUGUUUUUUCUUUAGAGACAGAGUUUUGCUCUAUUGCUCAGGCUGGAGUGCAGUGGCAUGAUUAUGGCUCACUGCAGCCUUGAACUCCUGGGCUCAAGCCAUCCUCCCACCUCAGCUUCCUAAGUAGCUAAGGCUGCAGGCUCUCACCACCUUACCUGGCUAAUUUCUUUUCUUCCUUUUUUUUUUUUUUUCUUUUCAUAGAGACAAGGUCUGGCUGUGUUGCCCAGGAUGAUCUCAAACCCCUGGCCUCAAGUGAUCCUCCCACCUUGACUUCCCAAAGUGCUGGGAUUACAGGCAUGAGCCACCGUGCCUGGCAAAGCCUCUUGGCCAAAAUCCCCACUCCAGUGGCUGCCAAGAAGCUGGUCUCAAAAAUCCUAUCUGUUCAAUGGAUGAAAAAUCCAGCUUCCUUAUACAAUGGAAUACUACAUGACAAUGAAAAGGAACAAUGCACUGAUGCACGCAGCAACGUGGAGGAAUUUCACAGCCAUUGUGAUAAGCAAAACAAGACAGACACAAAAGACAUGCUAUAGGGAUUCCAUUGAUUGGGCAUGCUAGAAAAGGCUAAGCUAAUUUAGAGUUACAGAAAGCAGACUAAUGGUUGUUGGGGAUUGGGGCUUGACUGCAAAGGGACACAAGGGAAACUUUUUUGGACACUGGAUAUAUUCUAAAUUUCAAUUGUGAUAGCAGAUAUACAAAUGUAUAUAACUUGGUCAAAACUCAAUGAACUAUACAACUUACCGUGAAUUGUGCAGUGUGUGUUAUAUAAACUAUGCCUCAAUAAAGUCAACAAGAAGAAUCCUGUCAGGAUGACUAAGACUUUCUAUGUGAAAACCCCCUUUCUAUGUGUUCCUCUUUAAAUACAUGCCCCCUUGUUCUCUCUGAGGGCAUAGAUAGUUUUGCUGCCACUUAAACCUGAAUUAUAGUUAUCCUCAUCACAAAAUGUUGUCUGAGAAAAAUAUGUAGGCUCUGCACUUACUUUCUGUGUGACUUUGAGUAUAAUACUUCACCUCUCUGUGAUUCAGUUUCCACAUGUGUACUAUGGAAACAGCAGUACAAAGAGGGCUCAGCAACACAGCUUACACAAGAGAGCCCAGCCCAGAGCUGGGUAUAUGCUGUGUGCUCAAUAAACCCUGGUUUCCCAUCUUCAUGCCAUCAGUUAUGGCUCUUUAGAUUCCAUAUAACAGAACAUCUGGCCCAAUUUAUUCAGAGGUGAGACUAAUGGCAGAAGAGCCCAGAGAUUGUACUGACUCCAGAAGGUCAGCAUCGAGGCCAGGCACUGGAUUUCUCUCCCUCUCUCUGCCAUGCACUUGGGUAUGUCAGCAUAAUCCUCUGGCCCCAUGUGCUGCACUCCCUCCCAGCAGCACCCACCUCUCCCUUUGGGCCUCCAGAGCUCUCUGCCUCCCAUGCCAUCCUGAAGGCCCUCUCUCUGUCCCCAGUUGGAACACAUGCCUUUUGUCUUAGCCAAGAACUGCAGCUAUGGGCACGUAACAUGCUAGUAGGAUUAAGCAAAUCAUUCUGGAGCUGAAAUCUGGAUUCUAUGCUCUCCAACCAAGUGGCUGCUACAAACUGGGGUACAAGUGACUGCUUCUCUCAGCAGAAGAAGGGGAGUAAUGAUAUGGGAAGAUAAUCAACGAAUGUCCAUUGAACACAUUCUGUCUGUCAGGGAGUUCAUCAGGAAACAGAAAAUACAGAAGUUAUUUUAACAGAGGAUUUAAUCUAAAGAAUUGUUUAAACAGGUGACAGAACACUGAAGCCAUCACAGUGUAGCAACUGCAGGAAUCAGCUACCAUUCCUAAUACCAGGGGAAUGAAGAGGAGAGGCUGGGAUUAUGAAAUCGGAGAGACUCGGGGAAAAGAGAGCACUUUUUGGCUGGUGCUCCUGGCCCUGAGCUUAGAGGAGAGGCCCUUUGGUUCCAGGACCCAGAACCCCGAGGAGAGGUGCUGGGAUCUCUAAAGGGGUGUAAUGGGGCUGAAUCAGGGUGUGUGGAAAAAACCUAGCUCUUGGAUGAAGAAGCAAGGCUGUAGUGAUGCCAACAAGAAUAAGAUGCAGACAGGAAGGGACAUGUCUCUCCUUCUGCUUUCAGUCUUUCCUCCCUCCCUGGGUCUGCAUUAGAGCCAGCUGGCAAAGCACAAAUGUGGCUUACAGAGUCAUAGAAUCACAAAGCAUUGCACAAAAAAAUUGGGUUUGGAGCAGACAGACGAUUACUUAACAACUAGCCCCCAAACUAUUCCACAAUCAGGGUAUCAGUGAGGACAUUUUCGCUGCAAGAAGUAGUAACUCCAACUUAAUUAGCUUAAGCAAUGAAAACAUUUUCUUCCCCAGGAAGAGCUACUCCAGAUUUGCUUAAUAAUUCAACUGUUCAACAUUGCUGUUAAGGACAACGUUUUUCCCAUCUUGGAGGAGAUGCUUCUUGGUUCUGGAACCCAGAACACUAAGGGGGAGUGCUGGGGUCCACACUGUGGAUAUGUGUGUGGAUAUAUCACAUAUGUGGAUAUGCAUAUAGGCACCUCAGGGGAUUUGCUGUCAUGCAUAUACAUAUAUACUAUAUGUGUAUAUAUAUAUGCUGUAUAUAUGGGUGUGUAUAUAUAGAAAGAAAAUUUAUUUUAUUUUUUAAUUUUUAUUUUUAGUUCUGGGGUACACAUGCAGGAUGUGCAGGUUUGUUACAUAGGUAAAUGUGUGCCGUGGUGGUUUGCUGCACCUAUCAAGCAAAUUCAUUAUAAAUAUACUGACAUAAAGGAUGUGUAGAGCAAAAUUUACAAAUGAUUAUAAAUUUUACAAUACUCCUUAUUCUAAGUUUCAUAUAGGCAACUGGUUCUCACAGGAUACUUUCAUUGAUUUUUGCCAAACUCUUGGAUUCUUAGCCAACCUAUGGUUGCAACUGAUCAAGUUUAGUUCAGGCAUCACCUUGCUUGAUGUAGUAAGACAAACUGAAACCAUAAAGAUGUAUGUGUGAACUUCACUUAUUAGCCAAUAACAUGAGCAUCUCCCAUAAUUGAGCUAAAAAAAAAAUCUCUAUCUGGAGCCCUCUUUCCACCGGGGUGAUUGAAUGUUUAUCUUAGUUAAUUCGAAGUUUACCUACCUCCUCAUUUUCUAGGGAUUACAUCUAAUUUCCAGGACAUAGUGGGAGGGCCCCUGUGAUCUUGCGACAGUUCAAAGAGCUCACUGGUUACAUAGUUGCUCAUCCGUCUGUCAGUACUUGUGUUUACACAUCCCUCAUUCCUGUCCGUGGGACACUUUGGAUCUGCUAGCUGUUUUCAUAUCCCACACUGAGAGCCCAAGAAUCUCCAUGAAGCGAAGUCCCCAUCUCCCAAGACUCAUCACCAUGCUCUGUCAGGGAAGCAGGAUGCAGAUUCCUUCUCCGUGGAGCACAUUAAUAUCUGAGUUUUCCACGUUUUCCCUCUGCUCUCCUCUUCCUUCAGCCUGAUGAAAUCAUUUCCAUUCUGUGGGAGCAGUAAAUCCUGACAUGCCUUAAACGCCCUGAUCCAGUUUAGCUGAGAGUGCAAGGGAAACUGGCUCACUCUUUGAAGAAAAAUAAAGCUGAAUUCCUACCUCUCAUACCGCAUACAAACUCUAGACAGAUUUUAGAUUACAUUUUACCUUCUAGAUGAAUGAAAGACCUGAAUGUGAGGUGUAAACUAUACAACGAAAGCAUUAAACAUUAGAGCAAACCUUUUAAGCCCAGUGUUGAGGGAGACCUUCUCUAAUAAGACGUCAAAAGGCCAAAACAAAAGAAAAACAAAUUAAUGGAUUUAAUUACACCGAUGUUCGAGAUAAUCUGUUCAACAAAAGUACACUGGAGACAAAACUAACAGGAGGAUGACAGGUUGGGGGAAGAUAUUAGCAAUGUUUUUGGCAGACUGGGAACACUUACAAAGAUAUAAAGAAAGGAAAAAAGGCAACAAACAUAAAGAAGUGCUAAUAAGUAGAGGAGAAGAUUCUCAAAUUUUUUAAUAACCAAAGAAAUACAAAUUAAAAUGACAAUAUAGCACUUUAUUCCCAUUAGAUUGGCAAAACUUAGAAAGAAGAAUAACACCAGGUCUUGGUGAGAUAUGAAAAAAACAGGAGCAUUUUUGCACACUGGUGAUGAGUUAUACAAUGACAUCAUUCUGGAAAGUCCUCUGACAGUGCUAUCUAAAUUAGACAGGCAGGUAUCUACAGAAAUUUCACCCUUGGAUAUGUUUCUGGAGUCCUUAUUAAACAAGACCAUAAUUGGAUAUACGUUAAUAAGUUUUUGCAGGGUUUAUGGUACUGAGAAGUACCACAACACAUCCUAGGUAGUAGAUAAGUAAAAUGCAUCCUAGGUAGUAGGUAAGUAAAACGUGGUGGCUCUACUCCAGGGAAUUUUAUCAGGAGUUAGAAAGAACAAACUAGAUCUAUACAAAACAACAUAAACAGAUCCCAAGCACUCAGAAGUGAGUGACAAGUGAGAAAGCAAAUGGGAUCUCCAAAAGAAUACCAUUUUUAUAACUUAAAACCAUAGGCCCAAAGCAUUACAUAUUCUGCAAAGAUAUUUUGUAACGUGUUAGAGCUGUUGCCUACAGAGGACAGGAAAACAGAAAUGGAGGGCGGGAAUAAAGUGAAUGAUUUCUUUCAAACAUCUUGUCUCCAUUCAGACUUUCUCCAUCCCCCUAAGGAUUCAGAUGUAUUGACCCUAGAGUUCUGAGUCUAGAGCCUUUCUUUCUGCCUUGAUGCAGCUUAUCAUUGAGAAAAUUAGCCCAGAACAGCUCAGCCAUUUGAUGAGGAAGGAGAGGAAUAGCAAAGGGAGUUGGGGGUUGGAUCAGUUAAUCAGCUAACCAGCCAAAAUCUCGAUAUAUUAUCCCUCCACGAAUGUUUCAGGGUUCUUGGUGAGAGUUUUCAAAUCCAUAACAAAAUAACCAGAAAAAGAAUGUCUACUCUGUGUUGCAAUUUGCCUAUGACUUGGAUGAGUCUGUUUCAAAUGACCCUCCGUGAGGACUGCCACAUUCAGUUGUGCAGCCUGUGCACUGCACAAAGGUGCUCCUGCCCAGGGGAGCAGGAGGAAGCUGGAAUUCACCAGGGACUCUGCUUACGAGCUGGGCCUGCCUGGGCCUCUUUCAAUCAUAGCCUGGGGCUCUUUCAAUCUUAGAGAGGAGCCUCAGGAGGUCAGCUGUAACUUGUCUGCCAGAAAGGGUAACCUUGCGAAAUUCCUACAAUGGUGCUGUAUGUACUUGCUGGAGCCCUGACUUAGUUUACCCUCAGCCUCCCCAUGUCUCAGUCUGGUCAACAUCCUUAUCAGAAAUUCACACUAGCUUCCUUUACAAUCUGCCUUUAGGACAGUCCUGAGGCAAAUUUCACUUGUUCUUCCCUCUGCCUGGAAUGCUCUUCCCCAGAUAGCCACACGGCUCACUCUCUUCCUUCACUCAGGCCUCUGCUCCAACAUCCCCUCUACAGAGAGGUCUUCCCUCCACAUCUCCUCUAAAAUAGGCCCCCAUCCUGCCUUGCUCUCACCUCUCAUCCCACAUUCUUCAUCCUGCUUAUCAC